CCCUUAGAUGUCCUGGGCCGCACGCGUGCUACACUGACACUUGCAACGAGUACUUUGCUUUACCGAAAGGUAAUGCUAAUCAUCAAUAAGUGUCGUGAUGGGGAUAGAUCUUUGGAAUUAUGGAUCUUGAACGAGGAAUGCCUAGUAAGCGUAGGUCAUUAGCCUACGCUGAUUAAGUCCCUGCCCUUUGUACACACCGCCCGUCGCUCCUACCGAUUUCGAGUGGUCCGGUGAAACUUUUGGACCGUGCGACUUUAUUGUUGUCACGGAAAGUCAGUUAAACCAUACUACUUAGAGGAAGGUGAANUCGUANCA
rnacentral:rRNA from 1 species